CAGAAGAAUACGUUUAAACAGUGGAUUAAACUUUAAACAUGCAAAACAAGUGAUGAACAUCAACGAAAUUCAAUUACAACACAAUUGACCAAUUAUAAACAAAAAAACUUAGUUGGAAUAUGUGUUGUUCGACCGUGAAAUGGCUCAUGAUACCACUUGAUGUAAUCCUCCUUAGCUCCAAUAUUAAUGGUUGGAACCAUGAAGGAUUUCAAAAUGAAGAUGCGGAACGUGAAUUACUAAAGGAGAAUCAAGGAAAUGAUAUGGUGGUUUGAAGGAAUAGAGAUUUGGCCAACUUUUCUAGGUUCAUGAGAGAUUAGGCCAACUACUGAGGUGUUCUAGGCUAGCUUCUAAUAGAAGGAAUAACCUAGAGGGAGCUAAGAACAAGUAAAAAGUUGUGCACCAAUUUUGUCAACAAUUCAACAUCG
rnacentral:lncRNA from 1 species